GUGUCAGCAGCCGCGGUAAGACAGAGGUGCCAAGCGUUAGGCGGAAUCACUGGGCUUAAAGCGUGUGUAGGCGGAUCGUUAAGUACCUUGUGAAAUCCCACGGCUCAACCGUGGAACUGCUGGGUAUACUGGCGGUCUUGAGCCACCUAGGGGCAACUGGAACAAGCGGUGGAGCGGUGAAAUGCGUAGAUAUCGCUUGGAACGCCAACGGUGAAAACAGGUUGCUGGGGGUGUGCUGACGCUGAGACACGAAAGCCAGGGGAGCGAACGGGAUUAGAUACCCCCGUAGUCC
rnacentral:rRNA from 1 species